UGGGGAAUCUUGCGCAAUGAGCGACAGCUUGACGCAGCAACGCCGCGUGGGGGAAGAAGGCUUUCGGGUCGUAAACCCCUUUCAGUUAGGACGAAGCUUUAUUGGUUAAUAACCAAUUGGAGUGACGGUACUUUCAGAAGAAGCCCCGGCUAACUACGUGCCAGCAGCCGCGGUAAUACGUAGGGGGCAAGCGUUGUCCGGAAUCAUUGGGCGUAAAGAGCGUGUAGGCGGCCUGAUCAGUCUGCUGUGAAAGUCCAGGGCUUAACCCUGGAAUGCCGGUGGAUACUGUCAGGCUUGAGUCCGGAAGAGGCGAGUGGAACUCCUGGUGUAGCGGUGGAAUGCGCAGAUAUCAGGAAGAACACCAAUGGCGAAGGCAGCUCGCUGGGACGGUACUGACGCU
rnacentral:rRNA from 1 species